AACCUGACCGUAACAAACUUUUUACAGGUAAGUACACUCAAUCAAAAUCAUUUUGAAAAGAAAUUCUACUUAUUUGUUUGAAAAGCUGGUUGUUUGCUUGUUUAAUCAAUACAAAAAAUAAUAUUUGAAGUUUGGAUUCAAGCAGGGUAAAGUUUCAGUUUGCUGGAAUACAAUAAACAUGUUUUGGAAGCAUAUCCUUUAGUGUUUACAUGUAAAGAGAACAGGAUUGGGAAAUUUCUUUAAAAGGGCUAUUUCAAAAUAAUUUGACAUAAAUUCUAUUGAUAUGAUAAUGAGACAGACUAUAUCUGAACUUAUUGGAUUUAAGAAACUCGAUCAGUAGUUCAUUCACCAGAGAAUGAUUCAAAAUUGAAAACACUUGAUUUUGCAGAUCGUAUAUUUUAAAUGUAUUCUGGUGCUGCUAAUGAAAUAAAUAACAUUGAUUCAGUGUUGACCGCUCAAUCCCUUGCAGCACUGAAUGCUUGUUAGUAUAGACCCAAGAGAUGCAUGACUCCUAGCUCUUAUAUUACUGCAGACUCCAAAUGCUCGUCAAAAAACACACAUAAUGGAGUUAAAAUGAUUUGUCAGACUUGAAUGAAAUCUGGUGUAAGUUCUGCUCUUGAAUACUUAAUGAGUGUUUGCACCAUUCCUUUCUAAGCACCAGGACAUGCCUUGCAUAUAAAUUAGAGGAUCAUUUUUCAAUAUGCCAUGUUUGGUAGAAAACAAGAUGGUGUGUAAUUUCCAUUCAUGUCUUUCUUUACUUCCAUGCUGUUUGUACUAAUUACAUGUUCUGCAUUCUAAAAAGCCUUAGACACAAUAAAAAAAAGUACACAAAUUCAAGCCUCUCUUCUUUUUCUAAUAAAAAAGUUGCAAUUUUCUUUUAGCGACAAGGAAAAAAAAAUAAUAUGCCAUUUCUUUUUUUUUACCCAAACAGAACAUAUGCUGCAACUUUCUUCAAGCAACAAAUUUUCUUUGCCAUGCAAUUUAAACAAUCACUUAACAGUGAUAAAAACAUUUAUAAUGUCUGACACCAAAUCGUUGCUGUCAUUUGUGCUGCUAUUUUUUUUACGCUGAUUGCCCAUAAAUCACGCUUCUCUCACAUCGCUCAGAUGACGACUUUUCAUUGUAGACUUUUUUUUAUUUAUGUAAUGUUCAUUAGGGAAAGUGAUGAUUGGGUCACGACAACACCUUAAGUACAUGGAACUUCUGACGAUAUUUCAACCAUCAAACAAAUUUGCCAUCACCACGAAGGUGUGCAUACUAACAAUUUUUCAAACACAUUUCCUGUGAAAAUUACACUUGAUUUCACAGUGUAUUGACGAAUAAAUUUGCGACAUUAAUGCCCAAAAUGAACUUUUGAAAUAUUUUACAUGAAAAACAGUUGGCCCUUUCAUGCAUUUUGAAUUCUACUUGUUUGCUGACAAUAGAGUGGAUUUUCCUGCGGUGUUAUAUGUUUUGCAAAUUUGCCAGAUACAAAAUAAUGUUAUUGGAAUCAUAGAAAAAAGAUACAGCAAUGUGCCACAAAUCCAACUUAUUGCUUAAAUUAAAGCCUUUAAAGUUUUUAAUAUUUGAACAUGUAUAUUACAGAAUACAAUAAUUCAGUUUAGCUUGAUUACUGCAAAUAUUAGUGAAACAUGAUGCAUGUGGGCCUAAUUGCUCACCUGAGUAAUGAAAUUUUGGGUCAUUUCUGUUACAUUUUCUUUCUUAUACAUGUAUAUGGAAAGUCAAAGUCUAAAUAUUAGACAAAGGUUGAAUUGAUCUAAUCAAAAUGUAUCUUUGGUUCAAGUUUGAUUACACAUGUAAUAUCUAAAAAAAAAUUAUCUUUGAAACUGUGGUAAUUUUAAGGUAUGAAAGAUGGACAGGAUGAACAAAAGUUAGAGGGAUAAAAAGAUGGACAUUAUAUCGCCAAAUACAUGAUUGGGGCAUAAGACACUGAUGACAAAUUGAGCCUUUGCCUCAGAUAACCUAAAGGUGUUCAUAAAGGGUUAUCAAAUAACAGAAGCAUGUAUUAAAUGGUGGGGCAAGGGUUACAGUAUAGCUCAAUCAAAAGAUCAUCCACCUUCUUGGGGAUUCGCUUUGGGGGACAUUUCAAAGACAGACGUCUGAAGAGUCGUAAAUAGCAGCUCUCUUGAAACACGUCCAAGACAUCUGUCAGAUACAGAGCUUGUUCCGCUGAGAGUACAAGAUGAAACUGAACGAUUCAGGAUAUUUUUGGAGAGAAGUCUCGUCAAACAUCGCAUUAUGGGCAUCACUACGAGACGAGGGGUGUUAAUGAUCAGAUGAAAUUUUGAUUUUCUUCUCGACUAUAUCUGAACCAUUAUACAAAUGUCGUUAACAGAAAGACACUUCAUACACAUAUUCUAUAUAUAUAAUGGACCCCUUCAUAUUGUGCAUUUUCUUUCAAAAUAAAUAUAUAAAAUUCA